rnacentral:rRNA from 1 species
AGUGAACGCUGGCGGUAGGCCUAACACAUGCAAGUCGAACGGCAGCACAGUAAGAGCUUGCUCUUACGGGUGGCGAGUGGCGGACGGGUGAGGAAUACAUCGGAAUCUACUUUUUCGUGGGGGAUAACGCAGGGAAACUUACGCUAAUACCGCAUACGACCUACGGGUGAAAGCAGGGGAUCUUCGGACCUUGCGCGAUUGAAUGAGCCGAUGUCGGAUUAGCUAGUUGGCGGGGUAAAGGCCCACCAAGGCGACGAUCCGUAGCUGGUCUGAGAGGAUGAUCAGCCACACUGGAACUGAGACACGGUCCAGACUCCUACGGGAGGCAGCAGUGGGGAAUAUUGGACAAUGGGCGCAAGCCUGAUCCAGCCAUACCGCGUGGGUGAAGAAGGCCUUCGGGUUGUAAAGCCCUUUUGUUGGGAAAGAGAAGCAGCAGGUUAAUACCCCGCUGUUCUGACGGUACCCAAAGAAUAAGCACCGGCUAACUUCGUG